rnacentral:rRNA from 1 species
GACAGAGGUGCCAAGCGUUAGGCGGAAUCACUGGGCUUAAAGCGUGUGUAGGCGGACGCCUAAGUACCUUGUGAAAUCCCACGGCUCAACCGUGGAACUGCUUGGUAUACUGGGUGUCUUGAGCCACUUAGGGGUUACCGGAACAAACGGUGGAGCGGUGAAAUGCGUAGAUAUCGUUUGGAACGCCAAUGGUGAAAACAGGUAACUGGGAGUGCGCUGACGCUGAGACACGAAAGCCAGGGGAGCGAACGGG